UAAAUCCGGUUUCUCUUAAGGCUGAGACACGACGUCGAGCACCUACGGGUGUGAAGUCAUUGAUGCCAUGCUUCCAGGAAAAGCCUCUAAGCUUCAGAUUGUAAGGAAUCGUACCCCAAACCGACACAGGUGGUCGGGUAGAGAAUACCAAGGCGCUUGAGAGAACUCGGGUGAAGGAACUAGGCAAAAUGGUACCGUAACUUCGGGAGAAGGUACGCUCUUGAUGGUGAAGUCCCUCGCGGAUGGAGCUGACGAGAGUCGCAGAUACCAGGUGGCUGCAACUGUUUAUUAAAAACACAGCACUGUGCAAAAUCGUAAGAUGACGUAUACGGUGUGACGCCUGCCCGGUGCCGGAAGGUUAAUUGAUGGGGUUAGACUUCGGUCGAAGCUCUUGAUCGAAGCCCCGGUAAACGGCGGCCGUAACUAUAACGGUCCUAAGGUAGCGAAAUUCCUUGUCGGGUAAGUUCCGACCUGCACGAAUGGCGUAAUGAUGGCCACGCUGUCUCCACCCGAGACUCAGUGAAAUUGAAAUCGCUGUGAAGAUGCAGUGUACCCGCGGCUAGACGGAAAGACCCCGUGAACCUUUACUACAGCUUGGCACUGAACAUUGACCCUACAUGUGUAGGAUAGGUGGGAGGCUUUGAAGCACGUACGCCAGUAUGUGUGGAGCCGUCCUUGAAAUACCACCCUUGUAGUGUUGAUGUUCUAACGUCGACCCCUCAUCGGGGUUGCGGACAGUGCCUGGUGGGUAGUUUGACUGGGGCGGUCUCCUCCCAAAGAGUAACGGAGGAGCACGAAGGUGGGCUAAUCACGGUUGGACAUCGUGAGGUUAGUGCAAUGGCAUAAGCCCGCUUGACUGCGAGAAUGACAAUUCGAGCAGGUGCGAAAGCAGGUCAUAGUGAUCCGGUGGUUCUGAAUGGAAGGGCCAUCGCUCAACGGAUAAAAGGUACUCCGGGGAUAACAGGCUGAUACCGCCCAAGAGUUCAUAUCGACGGCGGUGUUUGGCACCUCGAUGUCGGCUCAUCACAUCCUGGGGCUGAAGUCGGUCCCAAGGGUAUGGCUGUUCGCCAUUUAAAGUGGUACGCGAGCUGGGUUUAGAACGUCGUGAGACAGUUCGGUCCCUAUCUGCCGUGGGCGUUGGAAGAUUGAAGGGGGCUGCUCCUAGUACGAGAGGACCGGAGUGGACGAACCUCUGGUGUUCGGGUUGUGUCGCCAGACGCAUUGCCCGGUAGCUAAGUUCGGAAUCGAUAACCGCUGAAAGCA
rnacentral:rRNA from 1 species